GGAAAUACAUCGGCUAAUUGAUCUUCCAUUAGAAUCUUAUACAAAUGACUAUAAGUUUUGUCAAAGUAGUCGGAAAUGUCCUUUUUAGGAACUUAAUUGUCUAGUUCGUCGGUCGUCGCCUUUUGAAUGCGGCCAAUUGACUGUAAUACAUUUUUAGUUAG